rnacentral:piRNA from 1 species
UGAUGCUUGUGAUGCUCGCUUGUUUUCAGAC